ensembl:lncRNA
CACAGUUUCAUCACUUUAUUAAAUGACACCAUAUCAUACACAAAGUAGUGACAUACACAACAGUGGUUUCUCUCUCCUCCUGCGCCCGUCGGUCGGCCCGGAGCGAGGCCGGAGCUACACAGCAUCACAACGAACGAGACCCAGAGUCAAAACAACUAAAUAAUAUCAAGUGUUGAAAAGUGUCGGCUAGGACCGACAGCGGCUUCACAGAGGUCCUCUGCACAGACGGGUCGGGUUUCUAGAAGAUACGGUUUGAAACCACGGGCCAGAGUACAAUCUCUGGGCCACGAGCAUGUGCGCGCGCACACACGUACACGUGCUCGCUCGCACGUGCGCACUCACACGUGCGCACUCACACGUGCAUGCUCCGGGCACGGUGGCCCUAGCAGCGACGGCGGAGAGGAAACCACCGGGACGCGCCCCCGGGACCAGAAGAAGUACUUCAUCCGGGGGUUCCCGACGAGCCUAGAGUACAGCCUGCUACUAACAGGGUACACUAUAGUGCCUAGCGCCCACCCUCCCUCUAUGACCCCACAUGGCUUCUGACCCUUGACCCCCGACAGUCCCCGAACCAUUAAGACCCAGGUUUAAGACGACCCAUCGCCGCCAAGCGCUCUCCAGAAUAAAAUAACGUUUUAUGUGAGGUAAUGACGCGUUUCCUGUUUCUAGAAAACAGAAGGACCCACAGUGCCCCCCCCGAGAAGGACAGACAGACACCCACCCCGAGGGACAGACACCCACCCCGAGGGACGGACAGACACCCACCCCGAGGGGACAGACAGACACCCACCCCGAGGGACAGACCGACACCCACCCCGAGGGACAGACAGACACCCGCCCGAGGGACAGACAGACGCCCGCCCCGGGGGACAGACAGACACCCGCUCCCGGGGGACAGACAGACGCCCGGGCGCCAGAGAGGAGAGAGAGAUCCUAACAGACAUGGAGGGCGGGGGGGAGGAGGCAGACGGUGGAAUGUCUCCUCUCCCACGGUUUCACCUUCUAUUUACAUUCUGCAUCGCCAUGGACACCGUGGAACCCAGGACGUAUUUACAAAAAAAACUAAAACGCGCUUCAGUCAUGAUGCAAUGAAAACAUUGAAAAAAAAUAAAAUAAAAUAAAACGAUAUAAACAACGUAUCGACAAGAGCACAAAUUAAAAACCAGGUCCUAUUUACACAUGUGCAACGAUGAGGGAGGGAGGGAGGAGAGAGAGAGGAGAUGGCUUCUGGACUCCAGGAGGCAGAGGGGCGUUGGGUUCGCCCCCCCGGGGCGACGCGGCCGGGCGGGGUUCACACCGCUUCAUAGCUCCGCACGGCUCCGGGUGCAACAACAAUCAACCCGGCCCGCCCCGGGACGCGAAACCAACGCACCCACGCCGGGAAAGGGGCUGUUUGUUUUUAAUUUCUUUUAGCGUUUCGUUUCUCGGCCGCACAAAUCGGACAGGCCGAUGGGGGGGGGGCAGGCAUCGACUGACACGGGGGGAGAUGGCAACGACCCUCGUGUGGAGCUCAGAGGCAGCGGACAGAAGGGCAGGGUCAAAUAAAAUAACAAAGUCAAAGAAUCAUAUUCACCAACGGGGAGUCCUAAAAUACUGGCAGCUUACAUCGUAGUUUGGAAUAAAACAUAAAUAACACAAACACACACGCACGCACACACACAAAAACACACACACACACACACACACACACACAGAGUGGCGGCAAGGGAGGGGUUCGGGGAAACUUCAACAUGACACGGUAACGGAAGUGUAAACAGAUAAAAACAGAAGAGGUGGUUUUGGUCUGAAGUCCGACGCACACCGGGCCGACAUGACUUCGGAACGUCGACUCCAGUCACGUACAAAAAUAACGACAAAGAAAAAAAAAAAAAAGCUAAAUAAAAUUCGCAUGUUCGCCACAACAGUUUUAAAAUUCUCCAAUCAAUAAAUAAAAAAAGGACAUGGUAAUAUUCUCCAGAGGACCGGCCCUCCGUCUUAGAUCACUUCCUAGCAGCUAGGAGACCAAUCAAACACACACGCCAUGUGCGCGGGUGUGUGUGUGUGUGUGUGUGUGUGUCUGUGUGUGUGUGUGUGUGUAGUGUACAAGUCUUGUAGUUUUACACCCUGUCAUACAGCGAACAAGUGGUUAUGUUCCAUGUGUAGUGUGUUUGUGUGCGUGUAGUGUGUGGGUGUGUGUAGUAGAAAUGGGAAGUACACAGUAUGGGAAGGGGGAGAGAUGAGGUGUGUGUAGUUCAAGUGUGUGUGCGUUUGUGUUUGCGUUGCGUUGGGGGGGUUCAGAUGCUGUUCAGGGAUCCCGGCACGGAGCUGUGCUGAGACGAGUCGGAACCGGUUCCAUCUGGAGCAGGAGAGACCAGAGAGAGAGAGAGAGACCAGAGAGAGAGACCAGAGAGAGAGACAGGCCCGUCAACAGGGAGUUCUGGUGCCAUCGGACAACCUCAACAAGGAGGGGAACGAGUGAGUGUGUGUGAGAGUGUGAGUCUGUGUGUAUAAUAGUGUGUGUGUGUGUGUGUGUGUGUGUGCAUAAGAGUGUGAGCGUUUCUGAAUAACAGUGAGUGUGUAUAAGGCUGUGAGUGUGUAUAAGAGCAUGAGUGUUUUGUGUAUAGCUGUGAGUUUGUGUGAGUGAGUGAGUGUGUGUGUAUCAGUGUGUGUGUGUAUAAGGGUGUAUAAGAGUGUGUUUGUUUUACAGUGUGUGCAUUAGUGUAUGUCUAUUACAGUGUGUAUUACAGUGUGUGUAUGAGUGUAUAAGAGUGUGUGUGUGCAUUACAGUGUGUGUAUUAGAGUGUGUAUAAUAGUGUGUAUUGUGUGUGUGUGUGUGCGUAUAAGAGUGUAUUGGAAUGUGUAUUGUGUCUGUAUUGUGUGUGUAUAAGAGUGUAUUAGAGUGUGUAUUAGAGUGUAUUGUGUGCAAGUGUAUUAGUGUGUAUUAGAGUGUGUGUUAGAGUGUGUAUUGUGUGUGUGUGUAUUAGUGUGUGUUAGAGUGUGUAUUGUGUGUGUUGUGUAUAGUGUGUUAGAGUGUGUAUUAGAGUGUGUUAGAAGUGUAUAGUGUGUGUGUAGUGUGUGUGUGUAUUAGUGUGUGUUAGAGUGUGUAUUAUAGUGUGUAUUAGUGUGUGUCAGAGUGUGUAUAGAGUGUGUCUAGUGUGUGUGUUCUGACCGGCGCUGCUGUAGUUGAAGAGGGGG